rnacentral:rRNA from 1 species
ACGCACGCUGGCGGCGUGCUUAACACAUGCAAGUCGAACGGAAAGGCCCUGCUUGCCGGGUACUCGAGUGGCGAACGGGUGAGUAACACGUGGGUGAUCUGCCCUGCACUUCGGGAUAAGCCUGGGAAACUGGGUCUAAUACCGGAUAGGAGCCAUUUUUAGUGUGAUGGUUGGAAAGUUUUUUCGGUGUAGGAUGAGCUCGCGGCCUAUCAGCUUGUUGGUGGGGUAAUGGCCUACCAAGGCGGCGACGGGUAGCCGGCCUGAGAGGGUGGACGGCCACAUUGGGACUGAGAUACGGCCCAGACUCCUACGGGAGGCAGCAGUGGGGAAUAUUGCACAAUGGGCGCAAGCCUGAUGCAGCGACGCCGCGUGGGGGAUGACGGCCUUCGGGUUGUAAACUCCUUUCGCUAGGGACGAAGCUUUUUGUGACGGUACCUAGAUAAGAAGCACCGGCUAACUACGUG